GUGAGCCAGUACAGGAUGGACCCGCGUCUGAUUAGCUAGUUGGUAAGGUAACGGCUUACCAAGGCGACGAUCAGUAGCCGACCUGAGAGGGUGAUCGGCCACAUUGGAACUGAGACACGGUCCAAACUCCUACGGGAGGCAGCAGUGGGGAAUAUUGCACAAUGGGCGAAAGCCUGAUGCAGCAACGCCGCGUGGGUGAUGAAGGCCUUCGGGUCGUAAAACUCUGUCCUCAAGGAAGAUAAUGACGGUACUUUAGGAGGAAGCCCCGGCUAACUACGUGCCAGCAGCCGCGGUAAUACGUAGGGGGCUAGCGUUAUCCGGAUUUACUGGGCGUAAAGGGUGCG
rnacentral:rRNA from 1 species